rnacentral:rRNA from 1 species
GACGAACGCUGGCGGCGUGCUUAACACAUGCAAGUCGAACGGUAAGGCCCUUCGGGGUACACGAGUGGCGAACGGGUGAGUAACACGUGGGUGAUCUGCCCUGCACUUCGGGAUAAGCCUGGGAAACUGGGUCUAAUACCGGAUAGGACCACUGCCUGCAUGGGUGGUGGUGGAAAGCUUUUGCGGUGUGGGAUGGGCCCGCGGCCUAUCAGCUUGUUGGUGGGGUGAUGGCCUACCAAGGCGACGACGGGUAGCCGGCCUGAGAGGGUGACCGGCCACACUGGGACUGAGAUACGGCCCAGACUCCUACGGGAGGCAGCAGUGGGGAAUAUUGCACAAGGGGCGCAAGCCUGAUGCGGCGACGCCGCGUGAGGGAUGACGGCCUUCGGGUUGUAAACCUCUUUCAGCACCGACGAAGCGCAAGUGACGGUAGGUGCAGAAGAAGGACCGGCCGACUACGUGCCAGCCGCCGCAGUAA